AGAGUUUGAUCCUGGCUCAGGAUGAACGCUAGCGGCAGGCCUAAUACAUGCAAGUCGAACGAGAUUAAGAGGCUUGCUUCUUAUGAAAGUGGCGCACGGGUGCGUAACGCGUAUGCAACCUACCUUAAUCAGGGGGAUAGCCCGAAGAAAUUCGGAUUAAGACCGCAUAAAAACACAGGAUAGCAUUAUCCAAUGUUCAAAUAUUUAUAGGAUUAAGAUGGGCAUGCGUGUCAUUAGCUAGUUGGCGGGGUAACGGCCCACCAAGGCGACGAUGACUAGGGGAUCUGAGAGGAUGACCCCCCACACUGGUACUGAGACACGGACCAGACUCCUACGGGAGGCAGCAGUAAGGAAUAUUGGUCAAUGGAGGGAACUCUGAACCAGCCAUGCCGCGUGCAGGAAGACAGCCCUCUGGGUCGUAAACUGCUUUUAUUCGGGAAUAAACCUUUCUACGUGUAGGAAGCUGAAUGUACCGAAGGAAUAAGGAUCGGCUAACUCCGUGCCAGCAGCCGCGGUAAUACGGAGGAUCCAAGCGUUAUCCGGAUUUAUUGGGUUUAAAGGGUGCGUAGGCGGCUUAUUAAGUCAGGGGUGAAAGACGGUGGCUCAACCAUCGCAGUGCCCUUGAUACUGAUGAGCUUGAAUACACUAGAGGUAGGCGGAAUGUGACAAGUGGCGGUGAAAUGCAUAGAUAUGUCACAGAACACCGAUUGCGAAGGCAGCUUACUAUGGUGCUAUUGACGCUGAGGCACGAAAGCGUGGGGAUCAAACAGGAUUAGAUACCCUGGUAGUCCACGCCCUAAACGAUGAAUACUCGCUGUUAGCGAUAUACAGUUAGCGGCUAAGCGAAAGCGUUAAGUAUUCCACCUGGGGAGUACGCCCGCAAGGGUGAAACUCAAAGGAAUUGACGGGGGCCCGCACAAGCGGAGGAGCAUGUGGUUUAAUUCGAUGAUACGCGAGGAACCUUACCCGGGCUUGAAAGUUAGUGAAUGAUCUAGAGAUAGAUCAGUGAGCAAUCACACGAAACUAGGUGCUGCAUGGCUGUCGUCAGCUCGUGCCGUGAGGUGUUGGGUUAAGUCCCGCAACGAGCGCAACCCCUAUGUUUAGUUGCCAGCACGUUAAGGUGGGGACUCUAAACAGACUGCCUGUGCAAACAGAGAGGAAGGAGGGGACGACGUCAAGUCAUCAUGGCCCUUACGUCCGGGGCUACACACGUGCUACAAUGGAUGGUACAGAGGGCAGCAAGCUGGCAACAGCAAGCGAAUCUCAAAAAGCCAUUCACAGCUCGGAUAGAGGUCUGCAACUCGACCUCUUGAAGUUGGAUUCGCUAGUAAUCGCGUAUCAGCAAUGACGCGGUGAAUACGUUCCCGGGCCUUAUACACACCGCCCGUCAAGCCAUGGAAGUUGGGGGUACCUAAAGUAUGUAACCGUAAGGAGCGUCCUAGGGUAAAACCGAUAACUGGGGCUAAGUCGUAACAAGGUAGCCGU
rnacentral:rRNA from 1 species